rnacentral:snRNA from 1 species
CUCAACAUGGCCAGUCCU